rnacentral:rRNA from 1 species
GAUGAACGCUAGCUACAGGCUUAACACAUGCAAGUCGAACGGUAACAGGAAGCAGCUUGCUGUUUUGCUGACGAGUGGCGGACGGGUGAGUAAUGUCUGGGAAACUGCCUGAUGGAGGGGGAUAACUACUGGAAACGGUAGCUAAUACCGCAUAACGUCGCAAGACCAAAGAGGGGGACCUUAGGGCCUCUUGCCAUCGGAUGUGCCCAGAUGGGAUUAGCUGGUAGGUGGGGUAACGGCUCACCUAGGCGACGAUCCCUAGCUGGUCUGAGAGGAUGACCAGCCACACUGGAACUGAGACACGGUCCAG